rnacentral:rRNA from 1 species
GAAAUUUCAUUCGCACUAGUGAUAGCUAGUUUUCUAGGAAAGACAUAAAAGUGUCUUGGAAAAGAAUAAUUUAUAAUAUUAGUUAUUAUAUAUGUAUAUGUAUUCCGCUGAUUUUUUUGAGGAUAAGCUCAAAAAAAAGUUAAGAUUUAUUUUCAAUAAAGCUUGCUGUGUAGGUCUAAGAUUAAUCACCACAAAAGUUUUUUAUAAAAUAGUAAUCCUAGUUCUGUAGAUAAAUAUAAUUUAAACUAACCUUUUACUAGAAUAAAAACUUUUAUUUAAAUAAGUUUUAUACCUAUGCUAGAAUGAGUAUUAAAAUUUGACUAUAAGAGAAAUUAUAUUUAUAUUUUCUUCAGGAAAUUUUUUUAAAAAAAUUAAUUAAUUAGAAGGAACUCGGCAAAUAUUGUUGUUCCGCCUGUUUAUCAAAAACAUGGCUCUUUGAUUAUAUAAUAUAUAAAGAGUCGAGCCGGCCC